GCAUAUCAAUAAGCGGAGGAAAAGAAACCAACAGGGAUUGCCUCAGUAACGGCGAGUGAAGCGGCAAGAGCUCAAAUUUGAAAUCUGGCCCCUCCGGGGUCCGAGUUGUAAUUUGGAGAGGAUGCUUCGGGCGUGGCCCCCAUCUAAGUGCCCUGGAACGGGCCGUCAUAGAGGGUGAGAAUCCCGUCUGGGAUGGGUGGUCCCGCCCGUGUGAAGCUCCUUCGAAGAGUCGAGUUGUUUGGGAAUGCAGCUCUAAGAGGGUGGUAAAUUUCAUCUAAAGCUAAAUAUUGGCCGGAGACCGAUAGCGCACAAGUAGAGUGAUCGAAAGAUGAAAAGCACUUUGAAAAGAGAGUUAAACAGCACGUGAAAUUGUUGAAAGGGAAGCGUUGGCAACCAGACUCGCCCGGGAGGGCUCAGCCGGCACGUGUGCCGGUGCACUCCCCCCCGGGCGGGCCAGCGUCGGUUUGGGCGGUCGGUCAAAGGCUCCGGGAAUGUAGCACCCUUCGGGGUGCCUUAUAGCCCGGAGUGCCAUGCGACCUGCCCAGACCGAGGAACGCGCUCCGGCACGGACGCUGGCGUAAUGGUUGUCAACGGCCCGUCUUGAAACACGGACCAAGGAGUCUAACAUCUAUGCGAGUGUUCGGGUGUCAAACCCGUCCGCGCAGUGAAAGCGAACGGAGGUGGGAACCCCUUACGGGGUGCACCAUCGACCGAUCCUGAUGUCUUCGGAUGGAUUUGAGUAAGAGCAUAGCUGUUGGGACCCGAAAGAUGGUGAACUAUGCCUGAAUAGGGCGAAGCCAGAGGAAACUCUGGUGGAGGCUCGCAGCGGUUCUGACGUGCAAAUCGAUCGUCAAAUUUGGGUAUAGGGGCGAAAGACUAAUCGAACCAUCUGGUAGCUGGUUCCUGCCGA
rnacentral:rRNA from 1 species